rnacentral:sRNA from 1 species
UCCUCGAUCUGCUGCGGCGCGAUGAAAUGGAUGUGCGAGUCGAUGCCGCCGGCCGUGAUGAUCUUGCCUUCGCCGGCGAUCACCUCGGUGCCCGGGCCGACGAUGAUCGUGACGCCGUUCUGCGUAUCCGGAUUGCCCGACUUGCCGAUGGCGACGAUGCGCCCGUCCUUGAGGCCGAUAUCGGCCUUCACGAUGCCCCAGUGGUCGAGGAUCAGCGCGUUGGUGAUCACGGUGUCGACCGCGCCGCCAGCGCGCGUCACCUGACUCUGGCCCAUGCCGUCGCGGA